rnacentral:lncRNA from 1 species
UUCGUUAAGGGUAGCAGACCCAACAUCAGAAAAUGCAGGUAUGUAUGGUUGUCCAUUCCUUGACUAUAAAAGCCCUAAAAGGAGGAAUGCGGAUAAUCAUAAGACCAUAUUCUUAUAAAUUCGAUGAUUCGGGACUCUUGUGAUUUGUAAUAUGAUUAUACUUUCUUUUAUAACAUGUGUUAUGUGAGAUGAUAAUAAAUUAAGGUGAAG